rnacentral:rRNA from 1 species
GACGAACGCUGGCGGCGUGCCUAAUACAUGCAAGUAGAACGCUGAAGAGAGGAGCUUGCUCUUCUUGGAUGAGUUGCGAACGGGUGAGUAACGCGUAGGUAACCUCCCUGGUAGCGGGGGAUAACUAUUGGAAACGAUAGCUAAUACCGCAUAAAAUUGAUUAUUGCAUGAUACUUAAUUGAAAGAUGCAACUGCAUCACUACCAGAUGGACCUGCGUUGUAUUAGCUAGUUGGUGAGGUAACGGCUCACCAAGGCGACGAUACAUAGCCGACCUGAGAGGGUGAUCGGCCAGACGGAGAAUGGGACACGGCCCAGACUCCUACGGGGAGCAGCAGUAGGGAAUCUUCGGCAAUAGGGGGAACCCUGACAGAGCAACGACGCGUGAGUGAAGAAGGUUUUCGGAUCGUAAAGCUCUGUUGUAAGAGAAGAACGGGUGUGAGAGUGGAAAGUUCACACUGUGACGGUAUCUUACCAGAAAGGGACGGCUAACUACGUG